AUAUUUCUGCUGAUAAAAAUACCGCAUGUGCUUCACAUGAUUUUUAUAUUUAAAAGCUUUGUGUUUUUCUUUCUAGGGAACAGGAUUCUCUGGUUAAGACCUGAAAACACAGAGUGUGUUCCCAAGUUACAUGCAAGUUUUGCUGCAUACCUUCAUUAUGAUCAGCACUGGCACUUGAGUGAUGCGCUGCUGAGAAACCGAUUUGCUCUUCCAAGUGACAUACUGAAUGAUGAGCAGCAGCCCAAGUUUUGGAGCCUUCCUCUGCCAUAGGGAGGCUUCCUAAAGUGGACAGGUGCUUUGUAUCAGGC
rnacentral:lncRNA from 1 species